AACGAACGCUGGCGGCAGGCCUAACACAUGCAAGUCGAGCGGACCCUUCGGGGUUAGCGGCGGACGGGUGAGUAACGCGUGGGAAUAUGCCCUUCUCUACGGAAUAGUCCUGGGAAACUGGGGGUAAUACCGUAUACGCCCUUUGGGGGAAAGAUUUAUCGGGGAAGGAUUAGCCCGCGUUGGAUUAGGUAGUUGGUGGGGUAAUGGCCUACCAAGACGACGAUCCAUAGCUGGUUUGAGAGGAUGAUCAGCCACACUGGGACUGAGACACGGCCCAGACUCCUACGGGAGGCAGCAGUGGGGAAUCUUAGACAAUGGGGGCAACCCUGAUCUAGCCAUGCCGCGUGAGUGAUGAAGGCCUUAGGGUUGUAAAGCUCUUUCAGCUGGGAAGAUAAUGACGGUACCAGCAGAAGAAGCCCCGGCUAACUCCGUG
rnacentral:rRNA from 1 species